rnacentral:rRNA from 1 species
UACGUAGGUGGCAAGCGUUGUCCGGAUUUACUGGGCGUAAAGGGAGCGUAGGUGGAUAUUUAAGUGGGAUGUGAAAUACCCGGGCUUAACCUGGGUGCUGCAUUCCAAACUGGAUAUCUAGAGUGCAGGAGAGGAAGGCGGAAUUCCUAGUGUAGCGGUGAAAUGCGUAGAUAUUAGGAGGAACACCAGUGGCGAAGGCGGCUUUCUGGACUGUAACUGACGCUGAGGCUCGAAAGCCAGGGGAGCGAACGGG